rnacentral:rRNA from 1 species
GACGAACGCUGGCGGCGUGCUUAACACAUGCAAGUCGAGCGGUAAGGCCCUUUCGGGGGUACACGAGCGGCGAACGGGUGAGUAACACGUGAGCAAUCUGCCCUUCACUUUGGGAUAACCUCCGGAAACGGUGGCUAAUACCGGAUAUGAUCACCGGCCGCAUGGUCUGGCGGUGGAAAGUUCUGGCGGUGGAGGAUGAGCUCGCGGCCUAUCAGCUUGUUGGUGGGGUAAUGGCCUACCAAGGCGACGACGGGUAGCCGGCCUGAGAGGGUGACCGGCCACACUGGGACUGAGACACGGCCCAGACUCCUACGGGAGGCAGCAGUGGGGAAUAUUGGACAAUGGGCGAAAGCCUGAUCCAGCAACGCCGCGUGAGGGAUGACGACCUUCGGGUUGUAAACCUCUUUCAGUACCGACGAAGCGCAAGUGACGGUAGGUACAGAAGAAGCACCGGCCAACUACGUGCCAGCCGCCGCAGUAA